UACGGAGGGUGCAAGCGUUAAUCGGAAUUACUGGGCGUAAAGCGCGCGUAGGCGGUUAUGUAAGUCGGAUGUGAAAGCCCCGGGCUUAACCUGGGAAUUGCAUCCGAUACUGCAUGGCUAGAGUUUGGUAGAGGCUAGCGGAAUUCCAGGUGUAGCGGUGAAAUGCGUAGAUAUCUGGAGGAACAUCAGUGGCGAAGGCGGCUGGCUGGACCAAAACUGACGCUGAGGUGCGAAAGCGUGGGGAGCAAACAGG
rnacentral:rRNA from 1 species